AGAGUUUGAUCAUGGCUCAGGAUGAACGCUAGCGGCAGGCCUAAUACAUGCAAGACGAACGGUAAGUGGUGUAGCAAUAUAUCACCAAGAGUGUCGUAAGGGUGCGUAACACGUAUGCAAUCUGCCCACAACAGGAGGAUAGCUCCCCGAAAGGGGAAUUAAUACUCCAUAAGAUCACACGAGGGCAUCUGAGAGUGAUUAAACUACAAGGGGUUGUGGAUGAGCAUGCGGAUGAUUAGCUAGUUGGUGCGGGUAACGGCCCACCAAGGCGAUGAUCAAUAGGGGAACUGAGAGGUUUAUCCCCCACACUGGCACUGAGAUACGGGCCAGACUCCUACGGGAGGCAGCAGUAGGGAAUAUUGGACAAUGGGUGCAAGCCUGAUCCAGCCAUGCCGCGUGCAGGAAGAAGGCCUUCUGGGUCGUAAACUGCUUUUCUCUGGGGAUAAAAAGACCCUGCGGGGUAAAUUGAAGGUACCAGAGGAAUAAGCCACGGCUAACUACGUGCCAGCAGCCGCGGUAAUACGUAGGUGGCAAGCGUUGUCCGGAUUUAUUGGGUUUAAAGGGUGCGUAGGCGGUUCCAUAAGUCAGUGGUGAAAUACGGCAGCUCAACUAUCGAGGUGCCAUUGAUACUGCGGAACUUGAGUACUGAUGAGGUAGGCGGAAUUGACGGUAGCGGUGAAAUGCUUAGAUAUCGUCAAGAACACCGAUAGCGAAGGCAGCUUACCAAGCAGUAACUGACGCUGAGGCACGAAAGUGCGGGGAUCAAACAGGAUUAGAUACCCUAGUAGUCC
rnacentral:rRNA from 1 species